rnacentral:rRNA from 1 species
UACGGAGGGUGCGAGCGUUGUCCGGAAUCACUGGGCGUAAAGGGCGCGUAGGCGGCGCGGGCAGUCAACGGUGAAAGCUUGGGGCUCAACCCUGAGUCGGCCGUCGAUACUCCCGUGCUUGAGCACUGUAGAGGCAGGUGGAAUUCCGGGUGUAGCGGUGGAAUGCGUAGAGAUCCGGAAGAACACCGGUGGCGAAGGCGGCCUGCUGGGCAGUAGCUGACGCUGAGGCGCGACAGCGUGGGGAGCAAACAGG